rnacentral:tRNA from 1 species
GAGGAGAUGGCAGAAUUGGUUUAUGCAGUUCACUGUAAAUGAAUGGGAAUUCCCAACGUAGGUUCAAAUCCUACUCUCCUCA